rnacentral:rRNA from 1 species
UCGAUGAAGAACGCAGCGAAAUGCGAUAAGUAAUGUGAAUUGCAGAAUUCAGUGAAUCAUCGAAUCUUUGAACGCACCUUGCGCCCUUUGGCUAUUCCGAAGGGCAUGCCUGUUUGAGUAUCAUGAACACCUCAACUCUCAUGGUUUGCCAUGAUGAGCUUGGACUUUGGGGGUCUUGUUGGCCUGUGAGCCAGCUCCUCUUAAAUGGAUUAGCUUGCCGGUGUUUGGUGGCGUCACAGGUGUGAUAACUAUCUACGCUUGUGGUUUCCCACCAGGUAACCUUCAGCAAUGGAGGUUCACCGGAGCUCAUAAAUGUCUCUCCUCAGCGAGGACAGAUUUUGACCGUUUGAUCUCAAAUCAGGUAGGACUACCCGCUGAACUUAA